AUUGAACGCUGGCGGCAGGCCUUACACAUGCAAGUCGAGCGGAGUGGCGAACGGGUGAGUAAUGACUAGGAAUCUGCCCUGUAGCGGGGGAUACCGUCCCGUAAGGGUCGCUAAUACCGCAUACUAUCAGAUGAGCCUAUGUCGGAUUUGCUAGUUGGUGGGGUAACGGCUUACCAAGGCGACGAUCCGUAGCUGGUUUGAGAGGAUGAUCAGUCACACUGGAACUGAGACACGGUCCAGACUCCUACGGGAGGCAGCAGUGGGGAAUUUUGGACAAGGGGCGAAACCCUGAUCGAGCCAUGCCGCGUGAGUGAAGAAGGUCUUCGGAUUGUAAAGCACUUUAAGUAGGGAAGCGGUACCUACAGAAUAAGCACCGGCUAACUACGUGCCAGCAGCCGCGGUAAUAC
rnacentral:rRNA from 1 species